CCUACGGGAGGCAGCAGUGAGGAAUAUUGGUCAAUGGGCGAGAGCCUGAACCAGCCAAGUAGCGUGAAGGAUGACUGCCCUAUGGGUUGUAAACUUCUUUUAUAAAGGAAUAAAGUCGGGUAUGGAUACCCGUUUGCAUGUACUUUAUGAAUAAGGAUCGGCUAACUCCGUGCCAGCAGCCGCGGUAAUACGGAGGAUCCGAGCGUUAUCCGGAUUUAUUGGGUUUAAAGGGAGCGUAGAUGGAUGUUUAAGUCAGUUGUGAAAGUUUGCGGCUCAACCGUAAAAUUGCAGUUGAUACUGGAUAUCUUGAGUGCAGUUGAGGCAGGCGGAAUUCGUGGUGUAGCGGUGAAAUGCUUAGAUAUCACGAAGAACUCCGAUUGCGAAGGCAGCUUGCUAGACUGUAACUGACGCUGAUGCUCGAAAGUGUGGGUAUCAAACAGGAUUAGAUACCCCAGUAGUC
rnacentral:rRNA from 1 species